UAUAUUCUACACGCUCCGUACUUUAAAACAUCGUGAUUUUAUUCGUUAAGUAAUAAAAGUAUAAUUAUGAAGCACUAAAGUUAAUAUUAGUUAAGGGGCGACCCAAAACACUCGGUUGACCAAGAAUUUCGCAUGUUGAGAAAGAUCGCGAGGAGUGGAAUUUUGUUGUUCGAGCCCUACAACCCAGCAGGGGUAUAAUAGAAUUAGAAGAAGAAGUUAAAGACUUUCAAUCUUAUUUCGAGUGUAAUUGUGAAAGUGUGAAUUUCGACAAAGCACCAACUCGUCAUCGGUUUCUCGCAAAACUAUUACAAAUUUUCGUUUGCCGAUUUCUAGAAAUCAGUGCAUUUAGUGACUUAUUUUCAAGAUGGGAGCUCCAAGGACAUGGUACAAGCCGGCAAGUGUAGUUACACGUAUGUAUGUCUUUGAAUCGGCUCGGUUUUUCGAGAAUCAGCACGACUGGCUUGAUAUUCGUGUUACGGUCUUGGAAGGAUUUUAGCCAGUGUCUACUGCUCGAAACGCUCUCAACAAAGAAGCUUGCGGUGUUUGACUUUUAGUUGUAAUUUAUCAUUUUGUAUUAUUACUUCUACAGCUGCAGUAUUGUGUUCUUUAAUAAAAAUGUGUAUAAAUUGAGUUUUUUCUUGUUAUAUGGAAAUAUAUUUUAAGAUAAUAAUUUCAUUAAACAUUUUGUCUA